CAUUUGUAAAUGUAUGUUAGUUAUUUGUUAGUCAUUUAUAGAUCUCAAAUUUUUAAGUGGCACCUAGCUGAACAACAUACUACAAUGAGUCUUACACCAUCAUUGAAACUGUGGACUGCUUCCAACAAUGCAAAUUCUUACACAGCAGUCAAUCUGUCUGUGUUUUAAAUUCACAUCCUGUGGAUUGGAUGCUGGAAAACCCAAGAAAGACUAGCUACAAUGUUUACAAAUAAAACAUAAUCUAUUAGUCUGUUGCUCUUUUUGAUGAGAUAUGCCUAUAUAUGGCAUGCAUACACAUCAGGAUAAGGAUGCUAUUCCCAAACCAACUUGAGGUUUGAUAGAUUGGAACCUCCCUGUUACUCAAAGAACCCUAACAUUUGGCCAUAUACAAAGACCACACAGGAGAAGAUGUUUGAGGCCUGCAGAUCAUGAAGAUUUGGGAUCCUUAGCGAAGAAAACAAUGGGUGCACACUGUUUGAGAUCAAGUUGUUGUUUCUCAAUCCCCCUACAAGGAUCUGAACCGCUUCUCUUCCCAACUGUAAUAGCGGAGUGUGACACUGUGUGUGCAGAGCUAUGCACAGAUCUUCCUAUGGAUUGUUUGUUUAACAAGACAAGCUUGCAACAAGAGUGAUAAAGCAGCAUGGGGAAACACCCUGUCUUAUUUCCAGCAAGAA